rnacentral:rRNA from 1 species
UACGGGGGGGGCAAGCGUUGUUCGGAAUUACUGGGCGUAAAGGGCUGGUAGGCGGCCAACUAAGUCGGAUGUGAAAUCCCCAGGCUUAACCUGGGAACUGCAUCCGAUACUGGUCGGCUUGAAUCCGGGAGAGGGAUGCAGAAUUCCAGGUGUAGCGGUGAAAUGCGUAGAUAUCUGGAGGAAUACCGGUGGCGAAGGCGGCAUCCUGGACCGACAUUGACGCUGAGGAGCGAAAGCUAGGGGAGCAAACGGG